CCUAAAGAAAAAAGUUUGAGACAGAAAAAAACUGAAAUAUUAGACUUGCUUCUCCCACAAACUCCAACUUGACAUCAUCCAUUCGCUCAGAAGGAGAGAGUUAGAGGACGAGGUGGGAAGGAAGACAAAAGAGACGGAGAGAAGAUGAGCGAAGAGGAGGUGGGCAGUGUACUUUCUGCUCUCCAAAGACUGAGGAGGAGAAAGUGAUGGCACCAAGAACUUCGGCACGAGUGAGAUGAAAUUUGGGGAGGAGACGCUUGAGCUCUGCGGGGUGCCACGACCGACGAGAGCCCUAAAAUCGGCCAGCCGAGAACACGAGGCAGCCCUCUUUGAAUCCCCUCUGCAGCUGAAGGAUGAGAGGAGUGGACUUUCAUCUUAUUAGCCAGAAUUGGGUGCGUGCAACGGAGAGGCGUCCCCCUCCAGAAUGUCCAAUGCUAUGUUAUUCCUGAUGCUUUGCAAGACUGGUCUGAGAAAAAAACUGCAGGCUUUUCCAGGGAAAAUGGUAAAUACUGUCUACAGUGAUGAGGAAAAGGGAACUCAAGACAAGGAAAGUAAGGAGGAGACCAUCUUGGCCAUGUUGGGCAUCGUUGGGACCAUACUCAACUUGUUAGUGAUCAUCUUUGUCUACAUCUACACUACUUUGUAAGUGUUGCUCGAUUAUUGUUCUUUCCUGUUGGACUCAUCAGAACCCAUGUGUAUCAUAACGGUAAUGCUGCCUGACUGGAAGACAAAGAUGCUGAAAGUAAGAAAGACACUCAAUUUUUCAUGUGGCAAACAGACUUUAACAUGCCGUGAUUGCCGAUGGUCUGUCAUGCAACAUUUCGUACGAGUGAGACUAUGCGAAACUGGCCUGUCCUUCUGGUAUGUUUCUCAAUUUCAAUCCAUUUAUCCAGAAUAUGUCUCCUUUUUGAUUUGUGCAUAAACUUCAGUGGAAUCUAGCAGAAGAUGCUCAUCAAGAAGACUGAAAAAGGAAACCCUAAAGGGACAUGAAAUCCUUCAAACAGACAGAUGAAACCUUUACACUGAGAUCUCUUCACCUGAUGAAGUAGAAAAUCCUCACAUUUGCUUUCAUGGGAUGAAAUUUCAAGAUAUGUGUACAGAAAAUGUAUGGCCAUUGUUUUUGCGUAAAUGCUGGAGACACUUAAAAAGUGAUUUAUCUUAAGACUGAACUUUUCUAAGCUGUAUGUUUCACAGUUUUCAGGAAAAAGACUUGUUUACUUUGAUAUUAAAUUAUUGGAAAAUGAGUUACAUUCACAAAAGUUGUUUUGAUGUAAAUUUACAGAAACAGUAAGUGGUGUCUUUUAAAUGGGGUAUAAGUUGCUUUAAAACGUCUUAAAAGUUGUACUUAAUGGAUGCAGUUGACCUUGUGCUUCAUGUAAAGUGGUAAAAGAUGAGAAUGAAUUUCAGAAAUGGGUUCAAAGUGGCCUGCUUAUGAUUGACUGACUUACACAGCAGUAUUAUGGGUUUUUUAAUUUUUUAAUACCUCAGUUCAAUAUUUAAGGACCAUGAAAACAACAACAAAAAGGUUUUAAAAAUGGCAUAAUUUGUGAAAUGUGUAUAUAUAGUUCCAGACAGACAAGGUUACUUGAUUUGUCACUUUCUAGACAGCACGUAUAUUUCAACAGUCACGUAAUGUAUUUUAUUCUUACACAUUUUGUUCACCCACCUCUACAAAUGUACAAAGAACUUACUGAGUGUGGGAGCUGAGGACAGUUUGCAUUUUAAAACCGCUAUCAGUUUGUGUAUCACUUGUUAAAACUUAUAUCUGUGCAUAAUGACUUUAUGCCUUAAAACACAAGGAAAUGGAUAUUUCCAAGAUGUAUAAAAUGAUCAGGUUCUUACUGUACUACAUUAUGAAAGGAUUCACUUGCUGUUUAUAUGUUUAAUACAAUGCCAGUGUCUUACUUUACGGUUUUUAUGGCUGAGGUCUUAAUGGUGGGAAAUGAUCAUUAAAUAGGCAAUUUUAUAUGAAA